GACGGGAUACCAGCCUGUGGUCAGUUUUUUCACUGGCUGACACUCUUGCUCGAUUGAGCCAAGUUAAAUUUAAUGGCUACGCAAAUACAGGAAAUUGUCAUUCACUGACUGGGAAUUAACUUGGGUUGCGAUGGGAACAGCGUGAAAAGGAUACUUCUCUGAUGCUAGUGACCUGAAAGGAAAAAGCUGGGUAAAUAGACAAUGGUCAGCUACUUUGAGGAGGCUUGGCUAAUACAGGAGGAGAAACAUUCGGGAUAUCAUGCAAACAGUGGGAGUCGGGCGACAGUGAGAGGGGACUGCUGGGAAGAUAAGCAGCAAGUAUAAUAACUUACCAUGAGUGCUUCGGGAUCUUCAUUUUUGGCGGCAGAGGAGGAAGAGACCAGGAGCGAGAUGACCCUUGGGAAAUACAGUUUGGGCAGAAUCAAAAUCCAAGACCUCACAAGAGGGUGUCUCCCGCCCUUCCACCUCAUCUAACCUAAGGAUAAAAGGUUGGACAAUUUAUUUGAUCCUGAAUAUCAUCGGAUUUUGAACAUGGAAGGAGUAAGCGCCAUUCACAGCGGGGAGAAGCCGUACACAUGUUCUGUGUGUGGAAGAGGCUUCAGCCAAUCAUCUGGCCUAUCAAGACACAAAUGCAGUCACACUGGAGAGAAACCAUGGAAAUGUGGGGAAUGUGGGAAGGAACACAGAUCCCCAUCAAAGCUGAAAACUCAUCGACACAGCCACAUAGGGGAGAGACCAUUCACCUGUUUCACUGAAAAUCUGAAACUGGGAUACAGGCACAAGAUGGCUUCUUGGUGCAAGUUAGCACAACAAAAUGGUUUCUAGCCUGGGAACUGUAAAUUCUGCGAGAGCUGCUCUUCCAGCCCAGGAACUGUAAAUUCUGCUACAGCUGCAUAAAUAAUACAGUAAUGAUAAGAUAAUGCAGUACUAACUGUUCUAACUGACCUUCGGUUGCAAAUGUUGUGGCACUGUGUGGCGAGAUAAAAAGUUACUUACGUGUUGUGACGUUAAGUUGUUUACCAGUUAACGUUAUUGGAUUAAGUAACUGUCAAUGAACCAAUAUCAUGUAUUGAUUGGUAACUGUUUGAAUACACUAUGCGAUCAUGCCAUGUACCCUGCUUUAAGAAACGUAUAAAAAUGUCUUUGUAUGAAGUUGUGUGUGCAGCUCCUCCGAGGAAUACGAAAGUGCUCAACUUCUGUGUUUUCCAGAUGAUCUGUACCCGGCCAAUUGAAAAAAUAAAGAGUAAAGUCUUA